rnacentral:rRNA from 1 species
CCUACGGGGGGCAGCAGUGAGGAAUAUUGGUCAAUGGACGCAAGUCUGAACCAGCCAUGCCGCGUGAAGGAUGACGGCUCUAUGAGUUGUAAACUGCUUUUGUACGAGGGUAAACGCAGAUACGCGUAUCUGUAUGAAAGUAUCGUACGAAUAAGGAUCGGCUAACUCCGUGCCAGCAGCCGCGGUAAUACGGAGGAUUCAAGCGUUAUCCGGAUUUAUUGGGUUUAAAGGGUGCGUAGGCGGUCGGAUAAGUUAGAGGUGAAAUUUCGGGGCUCAACUUCGGAAUUGCCUUUGAUACUGUUCGGCUUGAGUGUAGGUGAGGUAGGCGGAAUGCAUGGUGUAGCGGUGAAAUGCUUAGAGAUCAUGCAGAACUCCGAUUGCGAAGGCAGCUUACCAAGCUACUACUGACGUUGAUGCACGAAAGCGUGGGGAGCAAACAGGAUUAGAUACCCUAGUAGUC